GUGCCAAAGUCGCACGCGAAAGGGGGGCAACCCCCGAGUAGAGUGGCGCACGGGUGAGUAACACGUGGGUAACCCACCCUAUAGAUCGGGACAACCAGGGGAAACUCUGGCUAAUACCGGAUGCGUCCGAGUUGGCCUCGGCCGGCUUGGAGAAAGGUGGCCUAUGCUUGCAAGCCAUCGCUCUUGGACGGGCCCGCGGCCCAUUAGCUAUUUGGUGAGGUAACGGCUCACCAAGGCUGUGAUGGGUAGCUGGUCUGAUAGGAUGAUCAGCCACACUGGGACUGGAACACGGCCCAGACUCCUACGGGAGGCAGCAGUGGGGAAUUUUGCGCAAUGGGGGAAACCCUGACGCAGCAACGCCGCGUGGGUGAUGAAGGCCCUUGGGUCGUAAAGCCCUGUCGGGUGGGAAGAAGCCCCUGGCGGCGAACAGUCGCUAGGGAUGACGGUACCACUAAAGGAAGCACCGGCUAACUCUGUGCCAGCAGCCGCGGUAAUACAGAGGGUGCAAGCGUUGUUCGGAAUCACUGGGCGUAAAGCGCGUGUAGGCUGCUGAUUGUGUCGAGUGUGAAAGCUCUCGGCUUAACCGAGGAAGUGCACUCGAAACUGGUCAGCUUGAGUACCGGAGAGGAAGGUGGAAUUCCUGGUGUAUAGGUGAAAUUCGUAGAUAUCGGGAGGAACACUAGUGGCGAAAGCGACCUUCUGGACGGAUACUGACGCUGAGACGCGAAAGCGUGGGGAGCAAACAGGAUUAUAUACCCUGGUAGUCCACGCCGUACACGGGUGGGCACUAGGUGUGGCGGGUGUUGACCCCCGCCGUGCCGAAGCUAACGCAUAACGUGCCCCGCCUGGGGAGUACGGUCCGCAAGGGUUAAAACUCAAAGGGAAAUUGACGGGGGG
rnacentral:rRNA from 1 species